UUUCUCGAUACUAGUUGAGACAAAUUCACGUCAAGUAAUGGCGGCGUUUUCUGUGUUGCGAACUAGAGUUUUUGUCGUUCUCUUUCCAAAACAUGAUCAUGAUUCUAUCUUUUGAUAAUGAAACUUCAUCAGGUAUUAACAGGGGCGACGAAUACAUUCGACGACAAGGCUGCAAUCGCCGUUGGUAGUGUAGAUGAUCACCCUUUCACGGCCUAUGCAUCUGGCUGUGAUGUUGUUAUCCUGUUGAGUGGCUUCACUCGAGUGCAGAUUAUUCCUGGUUCACUGUAUGGUUAUAAAGAAGUUAGCUGUAUUGACUGCUGUGAUUCUGAUGGAAAGAUUGCAGCAUCUUAUGGAAAACAGGUUAUCAUAUUUGAUGCCAAAUCAGCAACAGCUGGUAACAACCAUGGCUUUCCUUUUCAUUGGGAAAAAUCUGCAGAACUUUGCCUAAACUUUAGGAUUACUUGUUUGUCAUGGAACAGAGAAGGAAAACGACUACUUGUGGGAGGGGAUUUUAUUCAGCUGUGGAGCUGUGAAGACUACCAUGAACAGAGAAACUUAUUAGAGGAGAAUGUGUUUUGGACAUGUAUUUGGACAUGCAAGCCUUCUGUUCCAGUUCACCUUCUGCAGUUUUCUCCUGAUGGCCAGUAUUUCUGUUCAGUUGGAAAGCAUGAUCGUCUUAUCAAAGUGUGGUUUGACAACAACCAAGUCAAUCCACAAUAUGAGACUGAAGAGCUGCAAGAAAGAGGACAGUUUCUGAACAGUGAUGUUUUAGAUUACACUUUUGUGUAUCUGGCUCAUCCUGGACCAGUGACAGGAAUUUCUUGGAGAAAAACCAGCAAAUAUAUACCUGUCUCAACUGUAGCCAACUGUCUUCUUACUUCAUGCACUGACAAUGUCUGCCGCAUCUGGUGUGAGUCCAUCAAGCAAGGUGACCACAAUGCCUCACCCUCCCACCCCACAAAGAAUCAUCACAAGUGCAUGUGGCAUUUAUCACAGCAACCGAAAAAGCCUGUUGCCAAGGAUGACACAGCAGAAGAUCCUCUACUGAGAUACCAACUGCCAUCAGCCUUGCAAUUUCACAUUGCUGUUGCGGUGAAUGCUCUGAAUGAUAUUCCAAUCCUGUCCUCGCUUGAUUCCAUCUCAAGCGGUAAUCACAGUAGUUUUGUUCUUCACUGGUUGAACAACAAAGAAAUUCAGUUUACCAUGGCGGCUGAGUCGUGUCUUGGCGCACCAGUUCUCGCUCUUGAAGUGGAGAGUAUAGACAUUAGCGAUGACUCUUCCAACAGUGACAGUGAGGCAGAGCUCUUGGUGCCGAGUGACGAGGAAUUUCCAGAAUCUUACAAACCUGUCAAGAAAGAAAUCCCUGCACCAGAGAUGGCGAAAGAAAUCAAGAUCCCUUCCACACCGAGACCAAGAACUCCUUUAGAUUACUUAAAACACAUCCAAGAUGACACACUUAGUGACGUUGAGGAAUCAAGUACUUACGCCGCAGUGGUAUCCUCAUGUAUUGGUAAUCUUCUCCACGAGUGGUACAACAGCCCUGACACACUUCUCGCUGUUCAUCCCGUAGAUGGUUCACUUCUGGUGUGGCUUGUGGAAUGGCUUGACGUACAGAAUGGUGUACCAUACAGACAGCCUCAAGUUAGCUUUUUAUCACGCAUCCCCAAUGUUCUUCCCCCUGCAGAUGCGAACUCUUUAUUGAACAAGCUCAUUGUUUAUUGUCCGAGGGAAGACAAAGUCCGAGCUCUGAGGAACGUGAUGGUCAACAAGAGUGACGUAGUCUUAGCAGGUCAGCGGACGGCAACAAAAGCCAACGGAACGGGACUCAACAUUUCCCGUUCAAGUUUUGGUAAUUUGACAGGAGGGACGCAUCCUACGGCUAUCAUGAUUUCAACGCACAGAGACGGUGCUCUGAACCUCUGGCAACUUGCAUUUGCUGACAACUCAUCAUUUUCUACUGUUGUUAGUGUUUCUCAUCAUGCCCGCAGAUGUGGACAUAGAUAUCCCAUCACUAACAUCUUAGCUCAUCCAGAGCUGCCCCUGAUGCUUUCCACGUCAAGUCACGAAAUGGAAGCGAGAAAGGGCGAAGAGAAUUUGAACAAUGUGGAGUUACCAAGUAUGAUAGAUGACAAAAGCAAAACUCGAAAGCUACAUUGCAACGAACUCAUUGUGUGGAAGGUGGAGAGCGUGUCACCGUUACGGCAGAGUGGUGGAGUCAUGGAGCUCACGCGUGUAAACUCCUCUCGCCCAAAUGCUUUUCUAAACAUAGCUUGGGUUCCAACCCUUUUCUCUCACUCCCUGAUCUCAUUCGACAGCAGUACAUCGAUUCCGCCCCAUGCUGUCGCUCCUUGUGCGUGUUUUUUGGCCUUAGAUGGGACUUGUUACAGAUUUUAUCAAGUGAUCUUGGAUGCCAGAACUUUACAAGGUUAUAUAUCAAGCAACAAGACCAGAACACGUUCAACUCUGUAUUCAAGUGGUAGUGAAGGGAGUUUAGACUCAUUAGAUUUUGAAAGCCCCAGCAGUUCAGUUCCUGUUGAGUGCUUCAUUGAGUCAAUAGUCAGUAGACAAUCUGGCGCAACACCUGGCUGUAUUCUGAAGCUUUGUUCGUUAGCUGACUCUAAGGAUGUCCUACGAGAGCCAUUAUUACUGCACGUUUUCACAGAGAGCUCCGUAAAGUCCUCUUGUUUCUUUUCCUCUAACGAGAAACCGAGUAGUGAGAAUGAGGAAGAUCAUCAACAAAGUUCGCACAGAUCUGAAGAUACUUUUUACGUGGUCGGUGUUGAGAACAUCAACGAUGAGCAAAGUGAUACUGUGUCUAUAAUUUACAUGUGGCAGGUCACUGUCACUGCUACCAAACCAGAAACGAGUCUGAAAGGAUCAGGCUUGGAGUCGCUAUCGACCUACCCAGAGGUUAUACAGCCUUUAAGUAGAAGCAACAGUAGCGCUUCCAACAGGAGUGCGAGUCCCCUAAACUUGCCACAAUCAGGGCACGUGACUAGUAGUAUCGUAUCAAGGUGUGUUUGUCGUCAGAAGCUUCCGCUUCCUAGUGGAACGACAAUUAAAACAGCUACCAGAGCUGCUGAUAAGAUGUCGUCCUCUGCGGUAAAUCCGACUUGUCCAGCGCGGUAUUUGUUCACGUCGUCGUGUUCAGAUGGGAAGGUGAGGUUUUGGUCAUGCAGGGAAAUUGUUUCAGAGGGUCGGUUCACGUGGGAAGAGACUUCAUGGCUGUCAGAUGGCAGGAAAUGUGCUCAUUCCACGGAGCAUUCAGACAGCCGUGUGUUAGGACUGGAUGCACCUGGGGAGGUGUUAUCGCUCAGUUGUGCCUACACAGGGAGGAUUGCCACGCUCUGCAGGAACACUGAAGAGCAGGAAAAAGAAAAGCUUGACUAUUCAGUGUGUAUCUGGGAGAAUGAAUCGUCAGGAGGAAUGGACUGGAUUCUGGAGGACACACUGAAACUCGACUGCAAGUUUCUCACCGAUAAUUCACAGAUUCGUCUAGAAUGGACUUCCGCCGAGGAUAGUACGUACAUUCUAACUGUUUGUAUCGGCAAUGAAGCCUUUAUUUUGGGGUGUGCGUCAAGAAUAGCCAAUACAACUGUGAGAGGGGAGAGUACGUCCACUGGAAAGGAAACAUGGCUGCUUCUUCACAGUGUUCAUUUGACGUCAGAGAACAAAUGGCAGCUACUAACAAGAGCACUCUCGUGGAUACGCAAUGGAGUCCUUGUGGUAGGCCUGGGCACCGAAAUGCAGGUGUAUUCACAAUGGAGAGUAAUGAAAGACGGUACCUUCUCCCCCUCGGACACCAUGACCUUUGCUCCUACCGUAACCUUGCAGAAGGUCAGCGAAGUGUCCAGGGGAGGGUCAGGAAAGCUUGUCCCCUUGUCACUAACGCCAGGGGGUGGAAUUGGUUUGUUUGAGGGAGCCGGAACUAUAGCUCCUGUUUUACCUCAGUUUCAUCCCAAGCAUCUCAUGGAACUCAUGAACUUUGGCAAAUUAAGGAGAGUCCGGGCGAUAUUACAUCACUUGGUGUACUGUGUUGCUGGCCGUGAGGCCAUGGAAGCCGCCACUAAAGCUGUCGUCCAAUCAGCGCACAGUAGGCCACGUCUUAGCAGCAUGAGUAGCAUGAAGAGCAUUGGAAACGUGUCAAGCUCAAGCGAACCAGACCUAGAGGGACUGGUGCCCGACGAAAAAGAACGAGCACUUUGUGUUCCGCCAUUACCAAUGUAUGCUCUGCUUGCAGCUGAUAAAGACACUAGUGGCAGUGGAUCGGCUACAGCAGCUGAUUCAGUAGAUGGAACACAAGGAACAUCCGCUGAUGAAACAGACUACAGUGCCCUGUUUGAGUUAUCGCGUUAUGGCUCCAGUUUUGAAUCCGACGAUGAAGACAACAGAUUCUUAGAUAAAAAGAGAGCCAAGAGCAGCCCAACUCAUGUGGCACAGGCUGGUAGUCCGGUGCACUUCGGCUUGGCACAGGCUCAGUUGCUUUCCCAUCAGCUAAGCAGGAAACCUCUUCCCGGCUUGACCAGCAUUGAACAACUGGAACUGUUGGCUCUGGCAGAUACCUUUGCCUCAACCAAGCUCGACUUGGAGGAAAGUCCUGGUUCAAUUGAAAGAGGAGUGAAGUUUGCGAAGAAAGAGGAGGAAAGUUACAGCAGCGUAGGUGGUCUGAUGGGAGGUCCCGGUGGAGGCGGAGGUGGAUACGCUACAACAGGAAGCAUUGGAGCAACAGCAGGGAGUGGCGGAGAUGCUGUGGAUGAGUGUGGGUUGCGCUUUUUACUUGCCAUGAGACAUCAUACCUGCCUGAUGAGGUCACUGCCUCCUAAACACAGGGCAGUGCUGGAGGAAAGGGGCUUGUCAUCAUCAUAUUACGGAUGGGCGUUUCAUUCUGAAUCCGAGGAGGAAUUAUUAGCCAUGGUUCCUCCCGUGCUGAGAGGUGAGGCCACUUGGUCGGAACUGAGACGUUACGGCAUUGGGUGGUGGGUGAGGAGCAAUGAUACGCUGAGAAGGCUGAUAGAGAAGACUGCUAAAGCGCAGUUUUCAAAGAACCAAGAUCCCAUUGACUGUGCUCUGUUUUACCUGGCCAUGAAGAAAAAGAAUGUAAUCUGUGGGUUGUACAGAACUGUAAGAGACACGAAGAUGUCGCAGUUUUUUGCUCGGGAUUUUACACAAGACAGAUGGCGCAAGGCAGCUCUCAAGAAUGCUUAUUCUUUGUUAGGAAAGCAGAGAUUUGAUCACGCCGCAGCGUUCUUCCUUUUGGCUGGCUCUUUGUGGGAUGCGAUACAGGUUUGCAUCAGUCGAUUGCAAGACGUUCAACUAGCCAUGGUCCUCGCUCGGCUGUAUGAGGAAGACGCUUCAGGGGGGGCCCUCUACACUCGCAUCUUAAAGGAGUGUUUGCUAGGUCAAGGUGGUAGUGCGCAUGAGCCAACUCAGGACCCAUUCCUCAGAAGCAUCGCUUACUGGAUCUUGAAAGACUACAACCAAGCAUUGGAAACAUUGAUAUUUGAACCAACAGGACACAAGUCCCAGGAGAAAAAAUGCAAUUCUUUAGCCGCCAGCGGUAAUCCUGAUGUCUUCAAUUUUUAUCUCUACCUGCGCAAACAUCCCCUGAUUAAAAGAAGACGAUUCAUGUAUGAACACGACAACAAGAUCAAAAUGAAAUCAGGUGUGAGAAACCUUUAUCUCAGACAGGGAAGCAUCCGCAAAGAGGAAAUACUUGACGAACCUUUGACGCCCAUGGAGAGGCAACUGUUUUUCAAGACUGCUCACGCGCAUUUGAAUUCUGGAUGUCCCGCUUUAGCGCUGCAGGUAUUGAUGGAGCUUCCAGCUACUGACAUAUCUGCGGGAGAUGCCAGCACUGUUGCGGAAGGUGAUUCCCCCCUGGAGGACACUAGCAACAUGGCAGACGAUGUGACAGGUGAUAUGAUCAGCACAGGAACACUCGGCGAUUUUUCCUUCGGUGGCGCUGAUACAGCCGUGAAUGGGAGAGCUGAUGACUUCGAUUGGAGUAAGCCAGUCUCGUCCAAGCUUGGUGGCGAUUCAGCGGCUGAUUUUGACUGGAGUCAGCCUUUAGCGCCUGAUCUAGGAGGUGGAAGUGUCGACGAUUUUGAUUGGUCAAAACCUGUGUCGUCUAAAUUGAGUGGUGACGGUCUUGACGACCUUUCAAAUGGAUUUGAUUGGAGUCAACCUGUGUCCGAGAAGCUGGGUGGACUGGGGCUAGAUGGUGUAAACGGCUUAGAAUCCAACCAAUCAUCUUACCCCAACAAUAGUUACGAAACUAAUGAAGACUCUGAGUAUAAAAAAGACAACACCGCAAGUGAUUCUAAGGUACAUAAUGAUGAACUUCCCUCCAAGCCUAAGGAGACGCGACAUUUGGACGUAGUUGCACAACAGAUGAAGUUUUCUGCAAUUAUUAAACUCUUAAUCAACGAACUACACGGUUUGCCAUCAAGUUGCGAGAUUGCUGAUGAAGAUUUGCGACCGUUUUUCAUCAAGUGGUUAGAAAAAGAGCUCGGAGUGCUACAUAAGAUGUCUGACUAUGGUAUUGUUGCAGAGGAAAGUGAAGAUGAGGAGGAAGACACUGUUGAAAUUAACAUUCAAUCAGCAGACGAAUCGCAAGAGGGAAGUGCGGUAGAUAAAAAUUACAUUGCGUUAAAAAUCGAUCGCUCAGCCAAGCAUAUUCAGUGGCUGAAAAAGAACCAGAAACUUCUCACAAUUUUACUGAACUAUUGUUCGCUUCACGGAGCUAGCGGCGGAGAUCUAGCAGCAAUGAAUAUGGAACUUCUACUUCUCCUUCAUGAGGUGGAGCAGAUGCAUUCCUUGGUAUCUCCCCUGCGUGUACCAUCAGCAGGACCUUCUGUUCCACCUCUCAUCCUGGCCUCAGUAUCUGCUUCCUCGUUUCUGGCCAGCCCUCUAGGAUUCUUACAAUCUCUCACGCAGGAUAUUCUUCGAUUUGUGUUCAGUUUGCCUGGUCCACCAUCCCCCAGCCAUCCGAUUCGCUUGGCAAAUGUGCUGCAUAACCUAACAGGAACCUUGUCAGACUGCAUCUAUCAAAGUUUAACCGGCAUGACUCAGGAAGGGAAUUCUUCGAGUGGGUCAAAGCCUGCCACAGAGAAAAGCAGCUCAUCGGAUGCAAACAAACCAGCAGCGCUUACCGGUGCUCCUUCCAAGUGGCCAGGUGUUCGCUUGCUCCUCUCGCUGCUGGCCACUGAACAGAAAGAUAACAGCACCAAGCUGCGGAUUCUGUUGGCAGAGUCGUGUGUUGCCGUAUACUUGAGUCUGCUUGCUCUUGCAUGGUCCAAUUCUCAACCCAAUCAACUCUAUCGAUUGGUUGUAAAUUCACUCAAGUCGGGCAUGUGGGGUUUGGUGUUCGGUGGAGGCCUGAGGACCGCUGUUCAACAAUCUGCUGGCGUUGGGACUGAUGUCAAAAAGAAGCAAAGAACUCCAGCGGCUGUCAAUCCUAAUGGACGAGGAAGAGGUGACAAGUAUUGGCAAGGUGCUCGGCAAAGAUGGAACUUCAAGCUGUUAGGCCAGAGUCUGACAGAAACCAUGUCUCAGUGGCUGUCAACUGAUGUGAAACCUGUUUACGUUGAGCAGUUCAUUCCACCAAGAAGUACUCUUAUGGAGUACUUUAUCAGCAAGCCCCCACUAAUUGGAGAGAAAGGCGUGAAACAUUACGAUUCUGAAGAUGAUGCAAGCGACUCGGAAGAUGAUGACUUGUUUGAAAGUGACGCUGAAAGUGAUCUUGAGUAUUUCUCAACCAGACGAAGGAAGAAAACUGAAGCACGUGAUCACCUAGAUCCUGAAUCUUAUGGCUGGUGUCUCAUGAAUUACACCAUUGGCAAACUGGUGCUCACUAAUUUACAAUCUUUUCUGCCAGAUGUGGGAUUUGAACUAACCGAUUUACCCUCUCUAUCACCUCAGUUACAUGCGGCUCUGAAGACGGUGGAGCGCUGGACCCAAACUUUCCUCGACAAACUCGAGACUUUCCAGGGACCUCCCCCUGACUUCAUCUCACAGUUCCCUGUAAGCCAAGAUGGAUUUCCAAGAGGUGGACGAGCUUUAAUGAGAUACAAGGCUCUGAUGGAUCCACAAAAUACUCCUUUUAGAUCCACUCGUAACUCUGCAGAGCCUGUUAAACGGUUAUGGCGAACUUUGGUACAUCAAGAAGCUAUACAGGAGAUCUUCAUACAGAAUAUCUUCAAGAAUGACAUGACGACGAUGGAAGAGUUUGAUCACGUGGAUGUUGUAUCAGACGCAAAGCCUGUGAAAGUUUUGUAUAAAGACCCAGAGGGUAUCAACACAUUUUGCAUCAACAAGGCAAAUCCAAACUGCAUCGCUGUAGGGAGUCUCAAGGAUGUAGAAGAGGUUGAUAUUUCUCGCGUGUUAAGUCCUGAACCUCUGCUGUGGGCUGAAGAUGAAGUUGAACGCGAACAGAGUGACGCUCAGCGAAGAAGUGAUGAGUCCGAUUUUAAUCAAACUGGAAACAUCAGCCCUCAGAAGAGUACGCCAGGUGGACAGUCUCUUCACUCAGGCACAGUGCUAUUCAGGAGAACUGUGCAUGGUGUCAAACGGAUGGAUUCUCACCCUCAUCUCCCUUACUACAUCUCCGGCUCUCAAGACGGAAGCAUUCGUAUGUGGGAGUUUGGUCAUGCGCAGGAGAUCACAUCCCAUCGUACAUCUGGUUCGUAUCAAAGAGUGACGAGAGCACGGUUCAGUCCGCAUGGAAACAAGGUCGGAAUUUCAGAUGCCAGUGGUCAGUUGCUUUUAUGGCAAGUUAGUAGUACAUCCACGUCUGCUGAUCCUUUUCUGACUCUAAAGUGUCACAAUAAACAGACCAACGACUUUGCGUUCGUUGGCUCCUCGAGCUUUAUAGCAACGGCAGGACACUCCUCGGAUGGAAGCAAUGUUUGCCUUUGGGAUACUUUAGUCCCUCAGCACAGUUCACUUGUUCAUGCAUUCAUUUGUCAUGAAAAUGGAGCGCCCUGUCUUGCGCACGUUCCUGGUCAGCAACUACUCAUUUCGGGAGGACGUAAAGGAAAUAUUUGUAUAUUUGAUCUACGACAACGUCAACUGCGACACACAUUUUUAGCUCAUGAUGCGCCAGUGAAGAGCAUAGUUGUGGAUGAAAAUGAAGAAUUCUUCAUUUCAGGCUCUGAAGAUGGCGAUAUUAAGGUCUGGGGUUUGUCAGUACAUGAAGAGUUAGAGUGUUACCCAAAAGAACAUGGCAAAGGGGCUUAUCUUCUCAAGUACGGGACUCAGGGUGUGGCUCUUAUGAACCUCCACAAUGGACAGUUGUUCUCUUGUGGGGGAGAUGGUACAGUGAAAUGGAGGCAGCUCUCAGUUAGAGAAACUAUUGUCAAUAGCAAACUGCUUUGAGAUGGAUUCUUGAUCUCACAAUAUUCGUUUUGUGAGAAUUGGGGUGACAAAGAAACCUUCAAGGAAUAAAUUAAUGGCAAGCAGUUUUAACUGCUGCAGUUGCAUUGACAGAAGCGGAUUCUCAGCUAUCUUUUGGUUGUCGUUUGUUGCUGAAACUUUUUUUGUACUGCUUCAAAUGACUGACAAUGUAUUCAUGUCGGGAAGGCUGAUAUUGAAAAGCGAUAAUGGUCAUCUUAAAUGGUUUAAAAUGCAAUGAGCACUGUUGCAAAUAAAGAAUAAUAGAGAAUUCUAAUCUCUAACUAUACAAUAAAUAUAGGUCGAAGAUAAUUUUUAUCACAAUAGUCACUGCCGAGUUGAGUAGGAGAUUUGAGGAAAACUAGGAUUUACCUUCAUAUUUCCUUAUAAUAGUUUUCAUUUGUUAUUUCUUCACACAAAUUGUGUUUGUUUGGUAUGAUAAAUACAUUGAUAUUCUAAAAGCAGGUGUAGAAACAAUAAUUUAUAUAAUUAAUCUGAUGAACUUAUUUAUAACAUUUUAUAGCAAAAACAUUGUGCAAUGAGUUUAAAAAUUUUUCCAAUUAGGACAAAACAUAUUUGAGUUUCAAGCUGAUUGUAAAGUUUAAUGUAAAUAGAAGUUCAAAGAUCACUCAUCUUUAUAUAUUCAAAUUGAGAUUUGACAUUUAUGGAUGUGCAAGCAAUCAUUUCUAGGUGAAAGUGUUUACUUCAAAGGAGUGCUUCCCCAAUGUGCUCCAAAGCACAAUACUGGUUUAAAAAUAAUUGCUUUUUCUGGACAUUGAGCUUUUCAUUCUGCAUAUUUGGGGCUCUGUAACAUUUUGCAUGUCCCUCUGCUGAGACAGCAUUUCCCUAAGCUUGUGUCAUUGUGAGGAACAGGAAUUUAA